GGUCAAGUUAUUAAGGGUGCAGGGCGGAUGCCUUGGCACUAGGAGCCGAUGAAGGACGUGAUAAGCUGCGAUAAGCUUCGGGGAGUUGCACGUAAACUUUGAUCCGAAGAUUUCCGAAUGAGGAAACUCACUUAGAGUAAUGUCUAAGUAUCAUUAAGUGAAUACAUAGCUUAAUGAGGGGAACUCAGGGAACUGAAACAUCUAAGUACCUGAAGGAAGAGAAAGAAAUUCGAUUCCGUAAGUAGCGGCGAGCGAACGCGGAUUAGCCCAAACCAAUAAAGUUUUCUUUAUUGGGGUUGCGGACAUAUCAUAACGAAGAGGUAUCGUAAUUGAAGAGGUUUGGAAAGACCCACCACAGAAGGUAAUAGUCCUGUAUGUUAAACGAGAAGACUUCAGAUAUGAUCCAGAGUACCACGGGACACGUGAAACCCUGUGGGAAGCAGGAGGGACCACCCUCCAAGGCUAAAUACUACCUAGUGACCGAUAGCGUAUAGUACCGUGAGGGAAAGGUGAAAAGAACCCCGGGAGGGGAGUGAAAUAGAACCUGAAACCCUGCACUUACAAGCUGUGGAAGCACAUUUCUUGUGUGACCGCGUACUUUUUGUAGAACGGGCCAACGAGUUACGUUAAGUAGCAAGGUUAAGCACUUAAGGUGCGGAGCCGUAGCGAAAGCGAGUUUUAACUGAGCGUUCAGUUACUUGACGUAGACCCGAAACCGGGCGACCUACCCAUGAGCAGGAUGAAGCGAAAGUAAAAUUUCGUGGAGGUCCGAACCCACGAGCGUUGAAAAGCUCGGGGAUGACUUGUGGGUAGCGGUGAAAUUCCAAUCGAGCCCGGAGAUAGCUGGUUCUCCCCGAAAUAGCUUUAGGGCUAGCCUCAAGGUGAGAGAUACGGAGGUAGAGCACUGAAUGUCCUAGGGGGUAUUGCACCUACCGAAGACUAUCAAACUCCGAAUGCCGUCAUCUUAUACUUGGGAGUCAGACUGUGGGUGAUAAGAUUCAUAGUCGAAAGGGCAACAGCCCAGAUCGUCAGCUAAGGUCCCUAAAUGUAAGUUAAGUGGUAAAGGAUGUGGGAUUGCACAGACAACCAGGAUGUUGGCUUAGAAGCAGCCACUCAUUCAAAGAGUGCGUAAUAGCUCACUGGUCGAGUGAUCCUGCGCCGAAGAUUUCCGGGGCUAAAACUUACUACCGAAGCUACGGCAUCAGUAAUGAUGGGUAGGGGAGCUUCCCAUACGGGUUGAAGCAUGACCGUAAGGACAUGUGGACAGUAUGGGAGUGAGAAUGUUGGCAUGAGUAGCGAGAUGUGGGUGAGAAUCCCACAGGCCGUAAACCCAAGGUUUCCAGGGGAAGGUUCGUCCGCCCUGGGUUAGUCGGGACCUAAGCUGAGGCCGAAAGGCGUAGGUGAUGGACAACAGGUUGAUAUUCCUGUACUACCGAUAACCGUUUGAGAGAAGGGAUGACACAGUAGGAUAAGCUAAGCACACUGUUGGUUAUGUGUGCCCAAGCAUUGAGGCAGUCAAAGUAGGCAAAUCCGCUUUGAUAAUGCUGGGAUGUGAUGGGGAGCGAAAUUUAGUAGCGAAGUAGCUGAUUUCACACUGUCAAGAAAAGUCUCUAUCGAGGUUAAAGGUACCCGUACCGCAAACCGACACAGGUGGGUGAGGAGAGUAUCCUAAGGCCAGCGAGAGAACUGUUGUUAAGGAACUCGGCAAAAUGACCCCGUAACUUAGGGAUAAGGGGUGCCACCAUCAGGUGGCCGCAGAGAAUAGGCCCAAGCGACUGUUUACCAAAAACAUAGGUUUCUGCUAAGUCGCAAGACGAUGUAUAGGAGCUGACGCCUGCCCGGUGCUGGAAGGUUAAGGGGAUCUGUUAGAGCAAUCGAAGCAGUGAACUUAAGCCCCAGUAAACGGCGGCCGUAACUAUAACGGUCCUAAGGUAGCGAAAUUCCUUGUCGGGUAAGUUCCGACCCGCACGAAAGGCGUAACGAUUUGGGCACUGUCUCAACAACAGACUCGGUGAAAUUGUAAUUCCGG
rnacentral:rRNA from 1 species